rnacentral:rRNA from 1 species
AUUGAACGCUGGCGGCAGGCCUAACACAUGCAAGUAGAACGGAGUGGCGGACGGGUGAGUAAUGUCUGGGAAACUGACUGAGGGAGGGGGAUAACUACUGGAAACGGUAGCUAAUACCGAAUACUAUCAGAUGAGCCUAGGUCGGAUUAGCUAGUUGGUGGGGUAAAGGCCUACCAAGGCGACGAUCCGUCACUGGUCUGAGAGGAUGAUCAGGAACACGGGAACUGAGACACGGUCCAGACUCCUACGGGUGGAAGCAGUGGUGAAUAUUGGACAAUGGGCGAAAGCCUUAUCCAGCCAUGCCGCGUGUGUGAAGAAGGUCUUCGGAUUGUAAAGCACUUUAAGUUGGGAGGCGUUACCAACAGAAUAAGCACCGGCUAACUUCGUGCCAGCAGCCGCGUUAAUUC